CUUGGGAAGACUAAUUUAGUUAUUUGAAUUGCACUUUGACCAUUUACACAAAAAUAAAGAGAUGGUUUGAACAGUUGGUAAAAAGGGAUCUUCAGACAUCAAACAAGGUUUUUGAAUCUACCAAAACAAAAUCCACAAACUAAGAUAACAUCAUUCAUUAGCUGUCCUAAACAUCUCAUCACUUCUCAUUCUCCCGUCGGCAACCUUCUUCAUCCGGGCUCCCAACAGGUGCUGAUUCGACAUCUCCACAUGGAGUUUACCCUAUGCAUGAGCAUCUCGCCGCCGCGAGUGAUGGCAUAAACAUGGAGAAAAAGAAACAUAUCAUACUUGUGAGCACACCUUGGGAAGAUGUCGCUUCUAGCUGGAAUGUUCGUGCGUUGUCACGAGCCUUUUUUAUUACAUAUAUAAACAUGAUGGAUGUCAAAUUUUGCUUGUAUAGAAAAAGAUAGGCCACAACCAUUAGAAAGCAAUUGAAAUCCACUUCACUCGCAUCUAGUUUGAUAAAGAAUGACAUUCAAUGAUGUAUACAUAAAGAACAAUUAUUCAAAUAAGAAUCUGUGACAAACUAAGAUCUAUUUGAUGGGCUUAAGAAAUCCCCGUAUAAUGUCAGGAAUGUUGUCUUUAGCUUCAUUCACACAGUAUCUGAGGAAGUAUAAUACAACUUCUUUCUCACCUCUUAACCAUCUUACACAAAAGUAAUAUAUAUAUAUAUACUUAAAGGUU
rnacentral:lncRNA from 1 species